ACGGGUGCGUAACGCGUGGGAAUCUGCCCUUGGGUCUGGAAUAACAGUUAGAAAUGACUGCUAAUACCGGAUGAUGACUUCGGUCCAAAGAUUUAUCGCCCAAGGAUGAGCCCGCGUCGGAUUAGCUAGUUGGUGAGGUAAAAGCUCACCAAGGCGACGAUCCGUAGCUGGUCUGAGAGGAUGAUCAGCCACACUGGGACUGAGACACGGCCCAGACUCCUACGGGAGGCAGCAGUGGGGAAUAUUGGACAAUGGGCGAAAGCCUGAUCCAGCAAUGCCGCGUGAGUGAUGAAGGCCUUAGGGUUGUAAAGCUCUUUUACCCGGGAUGAUAAUGACAGUACCGGGAGAAUAAGCCCCGGCUAACUCCGUGCCAGCAGCCGCGGUAAUACGGAGGGGGCUAGCGUUGUUCGGAAUUACUGGGCGUAAAGCGCACGUAGGCGGCUUUGUAAGUUAGAGGUGAAAGCCCGGGGCUCAACUCCGGAAUUGCCUUUAAGACUGCAUCGCUAGAAUUGUGGAGAGGUAAGUGGAAUUCCGAGUGUAGAGGUG
rnacentral:rRNA from 1 species